rnacentral:SRP_RNA from 1 species
GCCAGGCACAGUGAUACAUGCCUGUAGUCCCAGCUCCUUGGGAGGCUGAGGUGGGAAGAUUGCUUGAGCCCAGGAGUUCUGGACUAUAGUGCACUGUGCCGAUCAGUUGUCCUCACUAAGUUCAGCAUCAAUAUGGUGACCUCCUGGGUAUGGGGGAUUAUCAGAUUGCCUAAGGAAGAAUGAAACAGCCCAGGUUGGAAGCAGAGCAGAUCAAAACUCCCAUGCUAAUCAGUAGUGGGAUCACACCUGUGAAUAUCCACUGUACUCCAACCUGGGCAACAUAGUGAGACCCUGUCUU